rnacentral:rRNA from 1 species
GACGAACGCUGGCGGCGUGCUUAACACAUGCAAGUCGAACGAAGUGGCGCACGGGUGAGUAACGCGUAAUCAACCUGCCCUUCAGAGGGGGACAACAGUUGGCAACGACUGCUAAUACCGCAUACUGAAGGGGGGGAUUGCGUCUGAUUAGCUAGUUGGAGGGGUAACGGCCCACCAAGGCGAUGGUCAGUAGCCGGUCGGAGAGGAAGAAGGGGCACACUGGGACUGGGACACGGCCCAGACCCCUACGGGAGGGAGAAGUGGGGAAUCUGCCGAAAGGGAAGAAAGUCUGACGGAGCAACGCCGCGGGAGUGAGGACGGCCUUCGGGUUGUAAAGUUCUGUUAAUCGGGACGCGGUACCGGAAGAGAAAGCAACGGCUAACUACGUGCCAGCAGCCGCGGUAAUAC